CGCGUAGGCGGGAAUGCAAGUCAGAUGUGAAAUCCAGGGGGCUUAACCCUUGAACUGCAUUUGAAACUGUAUUUCUUGAGUGUCGGAGAGGUUGACGGAAUUCCUAGUGUAGCGGUGAAAUGCGUAGAUAUUAGGAGGAACACCAGUGGCGAAGGCGGUCAACUGGACGAUAACUGACGCUGAGGCGCGAAAGCGUGGGGAGCAAACA
rnacentral:rRNA from 1 species